rnacentral:rRNA from 1 species
AUUGAACGCUGGCGGCAUGCCUUACACAUGCAAGUCGAACGGUAACAGGUUAAGCUGACGAGUGGCGAACGGGUGAGUAAUGUAUCGGAACGUGCCCAGUCGUGGGGGAUAACUGCUCGAAAGAGCAGCUAAUACCGCAUACGACCUGAGGGUGAAAGCGGGGGAUCGCAAGACCUCGCGCGAUUGGAGCGGCCGAUAUCAGAUUAGGUAGUUGGUGAGGUAAAGGCUCACCAAGCCGACGAUCUGUAGCUGGUCUGAGAGGACGACCAGCCACACUGGGACUGGGACACGGCCCAGACUCCUACGGGAGGCAGCAGUGGGGAAUUUUGGACAAUGGGCGCAAGCCUGAUCCAGCCAUGCCGCGUGCGGGAAGAAGGCCUUCGGGUUGUAAACCGCUUUUGUCAGGGAAGAAAAGGUUCUGGCUAAUACCUGGGACUCAUGACGGUACCUGAAGAAUAAGCACCGGCGAACUACGU